AGAGUUUGAUCAUGGCUCAGAACGUACGCUGGCGGCACGCCUUAUACAUGCAAGUCGAACGAAGUAGCAAUACUUAGUGGCAGACGGGUGAGUAACAUGUAGGUAUCUGCCCUUUGGCCUGGAAUAACACGAGGAAACUUGUGCUAAUACUGGAUAAGUCUUUACGGAGAAAGCUUUAUGCACCAUUGGAUGAGCCUGCACUUGAUUAGUUUGUUGGUGGGGUAAUGGCCUACCAAGACAAUGAUCAAUAGCUGAUUUGAGAGGAUGAUCAGCCACAUUGGAACUGAGACACGGUCCAAACUCCUACGGGAGGCAGCAGUAGGGAAUCUUGCACAAUGGAGGAAACUCUGAUGCAGCGAUGCCGCGUGAGUGAAGAAGGCCUUUGGGUUGUAAAGCUCUUUCGUCGGGGAAGAAAAUGACUGUACCCGAAUAAGAAGGUCCGGCUAACUUCGUGCCAGCAGCCGCGGUAAUACGAAGGGACCUAGCGUAGUUCGGAAUUACUGGGCUUAAAGAGUUCGUAGGUGGUUAAAAAAGUUGGUGGUGAAAUCCCAGAGCUUAACUCUGGAACUGCCAUCAAAACUUUUUAGCUAGAGUAUGAUAGAGGAAAGCAGAAUUUCUAGUGUAGAGGUGAAAUUCGUAGAUAUUAGAAAGAAUACCGAUUGCGAAGGCAGCUUUCUGGAUCAUUACUGACACUGAGGAA
rnacentral:rRNA from 1 species